GACGUAGGAUGCAAGCGUUGUCCGGAUUUAUUGGGCGUAAAGGGUGCGUAGGUGGCGCCGUAAGUCGGGUGUGAAAUUUCGGAGCUUAACUCCGAAACUGCAUUCGAUACUGCGGUGCUUGAGGACUGGAGAGGAGACUGGAAUUCAUGGUGUAGCAGUGAAAUGCGUAGAGAUCAUGAGGAAGACCAGUGGCGAAGGCGGGUCUCUGGACAGUUCCUGACACUGAGGCACGAAGGCCAGGGGAGCAAACGGG
rnacentral:rRNA from 1 species